AGCCUGAACGCUGGCGGCGUGGCUAAGACAUGCAAGUCGAACGGGUGUAGCAAUACACCAGUGGCGGACGGGUGAGUAAUGUAUCGCUAACGUGCCCUGGAGCCAGGGAUAGCUGUCCGAAAGGGCAGGUAAUACCUGAUGACAUAACCGUUAUCGCAUGACAAGGUUCUCAAAGCAGCAAUGCACUCCUGGAGCGGGCGAUAUCGUAUCAGCUAGUUGGUGAGGUAACGGCUCACCAAGGCGACGACGCGUAGCCGGACUGAGAGGUUGGCCGGCCACAUUGGGACUGAGACACUGCCCAGACUCCUACGGGGGGCUGCAGUAACGAAUCUUCCGCAAUGCACGAAAGUGUGACGGAGCGACGCCGCGUGUGGGACGAAGUUCUUCGGAAUGUAAACCACUGUCAGGGGUUAGAAAGUUCUGAUCAACCCCGAGAGGAAGGCACGGCUAACGUCUGUGCCAGCACGCCGCGGUAA
rnacentral:rRNA from 1 species